GACGAACGCUGGCGGCGUGCCUAACACAUGCAAGUCGAGCGGAGAUGUACUGAAGAUUUAUCGGAUGUACAUCUUAGCGGCGGACGGGUGAGUAACGCGUGGGCAACCUGCCUUCCACUGGGGGAUAACACAGGGAAACCUGUGCUAAUACCGCAUGACAUCACAUAGGGCAUCCUGUGUGAUCAAAGGAGUGAUCCGGUGGAAGAUGGGCCCGCGUCCGAUUAGCUAGUUGGUGAGGUAACGGCUCACCAAGGCGACGAUCGGUAGCCGGACUGAGAGGUUGGCCGGCCACAUUGGGACUGAGACACGGCCCAGACUCCUACGGGAGGCAGCAGUGGGGAAUAUUGCGCAAUGGGGGGAACCCUGACGCAGCGACGCCGCGUGAAGGAGAAGGCCUGGUGUAACUCUUGAUGAGGACGAAGGAAGUGACGGUACCGUCAAAACAAGACCACGGCUAACUACGUGCCAGCAGCCGCGGUAAAAGUC
rnacentral:rRNA from 1 species